rnacentral:rRNA from 1 species
AUUGAACGCUGGCGGCAUGCCUUACACAUGCAAGUCGAACGGCAGCACGGGAGCAAUCCUGGUGGCGAGUGGCGAACGGGUGAGUAAUAUAUCGGAACGUGCCCAGUCGUGGGGGAGUAACGCAGCGAAAGUUGUGCUAAUACCGCAUACGAUCUAUGGAUGAAAGCGGGGGAUCGCAAGACCUCGCGCGAUUGGAGCGGCCGAUAUCAGAUUAGGUUGUUGGUGAGGUAAAAGCUCACCAAGCCUGCGAUCUGUAGCUGGUCUGAGAGGACGACCAGCCACACUGGAACUGAGACACGGUCCAGACUCCUACGGGAGGCAGCAGUGGGGAAUUUUGGACAAUGGACGAAAGUCUGAUCCAGCAAUGCCGCGUGCAGGACGAAGGCCUUCGGGUUGUAAACUGCUUUUGUACAGAACGAAAAAGUCUUUAAUAACACUAGAGGCUCAUGACGGUACUGUAAGAAUAAGCACCGGCUAACUACGUG